AUCCGGUUGAUGAGCCUCAAAUAGGACGAAACACGUGUCCUGGAU
rfam:Schistosoma margrebowiei strain Zambia genome assembly, scaffold: SMRZ_scaffold0000653